GUGCACCAGUCGAGAAAACUUUACAAUGUGCGAAAGCAUGAUAAGGGAACUCUGAGUGCCUCCUAAGGAGGCUGUUCAGGUGUCUAAAAAGCACCUGGAGUAAGGGCUGGGUAAGACCGGUGCCAGCCGCCGCGGUAACACCGGCAGCCCAGGUGGUAGCCACUUUUAUUGGGUCUAAAGCGUCCGUAGCCGGUUGAGUAAGUUCCUUGGGAAAUUUGGCUGCUCAACAGUCAAGCUUCCAGGGAAUACUGCUCGACUUGGGACUGGGAGAGGUCAGAGGUACUCCAGGGGUAGGGGUGAAAAUCCAUUAAUCCCUGGGGGACCACCGGUAGCGAAGGCGUCUGACCAGACCAGGUCCGACGGUGAGGGACGAA
rnacentral:rRNA from 1 species